AAUUCGAAGCAACGCGCAGAACCUUACCAGCCCUUGACAUGUCGGUCGCGGAUUACAGAGAUGUUUUCCUUCAGUUAGGCUGGACCGAACACAGGUGCUGCAUGGCUGUCGUCAGCUCGUGUCGUGAGAUGUUGGGUUAAGUCCCGCAACGAGCGCAACCCUCGCCCUUAGUUGCCAGCAUUCAGUUGGGCACUCUAAGGGGACUGCCGGUGAUAAGCCGAGAGGAAGGUGGGGAUGACGUCAAGUCCUCAUGGCCCUUACGGGCUGGGCUACACACGUGCUACAAUGGUGGUGACAGUGGGCAGCGAGACAGCCAUGUCGAGCUAAUCUCCAAA
rnacentral:rRNA from 1 species